rnacentral:rRNA from 1 species
GACGAACGCUGGCGGCGUGCUUAACACAUGCAAGUCGAACGGAAAGGCCUUUUCGGAGGUACUCGAGUGGCGAACGGGUGAGUAACACGUGGGUGAUCUGCCCUGCACUCUGGGAUAAGCCUGGGAAACUGGGUCUAAUACCGGAUAGGACCGCACUUUAGUGUGUGUGGUGGAAAGUUUUUUCGGUGUAGGAUGAGCCCGCGGCCUAUCAGCUUGUUGGUGGGGUAAUGGCCUACCAAGGCGGCGACGGGUAGCCGGACUGAGAGGUUGGUCGGCCACACUGGGACUGAGAGACGGCCCAGACUCCUACGGGAGGCAGCAGUGGGGAAUAUUGCACAAUGGGCGCAAGCCUGAUGCAGCGACGCCGCGUGGGGGAUGACGGCCUUCGGGUUGUAAACUCCUUUCGCCAGGGACGAAGCGUUUUGUGACGGUACCUGGAGAAGAAGCACCGGCUAACUACGUG